CCUUGGCAGCUCCGUGCCGUGUUUUGGGUUCCUGAGGUUUUAAUCGAACUGGAGCAGGGAGAACGCUUCUGUUCCACCCCAGCCUUUGAAAUCCUGCUGCAGCACCAGAUCCCUGAAGAUUCCAGCUUCCAGCACUGCUGGCCUUUAGCUCCUCAGUUUGUGAGGAAGUGGAAUUAAGUUGUGGAUUUCAGCUGCUGUCGCUGAAUCAGGAACUUGGGAUUCACCGGGGGAAUUAUUCCCCAAGCUCCAGGCUGUGGUUGCUCUGUUAAAUUGCGGAUGCUGGGAAAUUAUGGAUGCUCUUCCUCUCUCCUGGAACUGGGAAUAGCUGAGAUUUGCAGUUCUGGAGGGCAGAGGAGAAUAAUCUGCUGCAGUUGGUGAUGAUGGGGUGGGAACCAAGCUCCUUGGUGAGGACCCGUGUCCCUGUCCCGAUGUCCUGAGGAGUUUUGGCUCUGCACAGGUCGUGAAUCAAGGUGGAUGAAUAAAAUAAUUCCCAGGGUUUGAUUUCCUGAAUUGCAGAUAAAAAUAAAACAAUGCUUUCUGAGGUGGAAGAUUUGUUGCAAGGAGUUAAAAGUUCUUUCUGCUGGCACUGAGAGCUGAAAAUGAAUCACUGGCCAUGAGCCAAACUCCCAUCAGCUCCACAGAAAUAUUCAUUAGAGAUAAAUGGCUUCAGGAGAAUGGGACAGAUCCUGCUGAUUUCUUGGGCUUCACCAGCAAAACAGCAACAACCUCAUGGCUGCAGCAUCCCUGUGGGGAAAGGAAUUCCUUCCACCUAAAAGUUCUCCUGAAUUCCAGGAGGAAUUUGCAGGGCCAGCCAUUUAUCCCCCUUGGGAAUGGAGGGAGCCUUCAGCAAACGUGGCCUCUCUGUUUUCAAAGGGAGAGAAGGUUUUAAUCCCUGCUCUUGAAUCCCUGGAAUGGGUUUUAUUCCUCCUUCUGAGGGAGCAGCUCCGUGCCUCGACUGCCCCAUCCCUCUGCUGCCUGUGAGAGUUUGCUCUGCAAGAUUCUGUCCUCCAGGCCUGCAAUUUCCCAUCUUUUAUUUAUCAACCCUCUCCUCCAAGAGCACUCAGGGUGCUGGGAACUAUCUGGGAAAUAAUUCUCCGUUAAUUAAAGCGCUCCAGGUGGCGUGGUCUCGUUACCUGCGCCGUGUCCUCUGUGCUGGUGUCAAUUUGGGGUGUGAGGUGUGAGAAUUCCUCUCUGAGCUCAUCCCAGCUGCACCCCCUGGCCUGAGCAGAGAUGUUGCUGUGCUGGAGUUUGGGUAGCCCAGGUGAGACCCCAGCAGGGCAGAUGUGUGGGCUGUCCCCCAAAAGCCACCGACCCAGGGGUACAGUUGUGUGGUCAGGCUGGCACACGCUUCUGAUGGUAGGGGAAGGACAGGGGUAAAGGAUGGAGAGGAGCCUUUGGUGUGAAUCCCAGAGAACUUUAACCCCCAGGGGGAUCAAGGACCCAAAACACCAAAGAUCCAGGGCUACAGCAGGUUAUACACAGGGGAGGAGCAAGAGGGGGGUACAAACAUCAACCAGUGGUGAGGCCAAGAGGGAGGAACAGGGGCAGGGGGUAACAACACCGGGACCAACCGGGGUGAGG
ensembl:lncRNA